CCUGGCACCCUGGCAUGAGCCUAUAGUCUCAGCUAGUCAGAAGGCUGAGGCGGGAGGGUGUCUUGAGCCCAGGAGUUCUGGGCUGCAGUCCGCUAUGCCAACUGGGUGUCUGCUCUAAGUUCGGCAUCAAUAUGGUGACCUCCUGGGUAUAGGGGACCAUCAGGUUGCCUAAGGGAGGAGUGAACUGGCCCAGGUCAGAAAUAGAGCAGGUCAGGACUCCCGUGCUGAUCAGUAACAGGAUCAAGAUUGUGAAUAGCCACUGCACUCCAGCCUGAGCAACAUAGCAAGACCCUGUCUAAG
rfam:Nomascus leucogenys chromosome 12, whole genome shotgun sequence.